rfam:Myotis lucifugus cont2.17051, whole genome shotgun sequence.
GGAUGUGAGGGCGAUCUGGCUGCGACAUCUGUCACCCCACUGAUCGCCAGGGUUGAUUCGGCUGAUCUGGCUGGCUAGGCGGGUGUCCCACUCCUCCCUCACCGAUCCAUGUGCAUCCCUCCCGAAGCUGCGUGCUCGGUCGAAGAGGACGACCUUCCCCCUGAGAGGAGAGGACCGGUCUUUGGUCAAGGGUAUACGAGUAGCUGCGCUCCCCUGCUAGAACCUCCAAACAAGCUCUCACAAAUGCUGUGUGGUGCUGGGCCAGGGCAGGGGACCUCAGGCCGAAACCCUGCCCCGGGGCUGGG